UGACCUCAAAUCAGGUAAGAAUACCCGCUGAACUUAAGCAUAUCAAUAAGCGGAGGAAAAGAAAAUAACAAUGAUUCCCUUAGUAACGGCGAGUGAAGGGGGAAAAGCUCAAAUUUUAAAUCUGCUAGGUUUUACUUAUCAGAAUUGUAAUUUGAAGAAGCGUUUUCUGCGUCUCGGUUGGCCCAAAUCCUUUGGGAUAAGGUAUCACGGAGGGUGAGAAUCCCGUUCGGUUGACCUUAUGACGCUCUACGAUACGCUUUCUAAGAGUCGAGUUGUUUGGGAUUGCAGCUCAAAAUGGGAGGUAAAUUUCUCCUAAGGCUAAAUAUCGGCGAGAGACCGAUAGCGAACAAGUACCGUGAGGGAAAGAUGAAAAGAACUUUGAAAAGAGAGUGAAAUGGUACGUGAAAUUGUUGAAAGGGAAACGAUUGAAGUCAGUCGUACCGACGAGAAAUCAGCUUAUCGUGUGUGAACUUGUGGGCGUGCGUGAGUUUCGGCCUCGCUGUUUGCAUGUUUGUGCGCUUUGGGUGUACUUUUUCGUAUGGUUGGCCAACGUCAGUUUCGAUUACUAUAAAAUGACCGGCGGAAUGUAGCUUCGAUUUCGGUUGAAGUGUUAUAGCCUCUGGUAGAUGUGGUGAUUGGGACUGAGGAUUGCAACGAAUAUCCUUUGGGCUAUCCGUCUGGCCUCUGAAAGUUGCUCAGGUGCCGAAAGCUUGCUUACGGUCAUCUAAGUUGACGGUCAACAGGUUAGAACGCGAUUACAUUCGUUAAGGACGUUGGCGUAAUGGCUUUAAACGACCCGUCUUGAAACACGGACCAAGGAG
rnacentral:rRNA from 1 species